GUUUCAAAUCUCCCGAGAGAUUGUACAUGAUGAGCAAGUCAAAUUGAUGGGUGGAGGAGAAGUAUCUAAGCUACACUUCCUUGUAGUCAGUGGAUAUUUCAAUCUAUGACAUGUGGUUGGUGAUGUCAUACCUCUCAACAUUGGAAAUCAGGUUCUUGCGCAUCGAGUGCUAAUAUCUGGCCAUUCCCUUGCCCUUGAUGAGUCUAGCAUGACUGGACAGAGCAAAAUCGUGUGUGUUUUUCUUUCCUAUCAUAAUAAAACUUGUUGACUUUCUCGUCCCGCUUUAUGGUGAUUCAAGAGGUGGUGGUGCUGCUUUGAGUGUCAAGGAGGUAUCGGAGAAACCGAUUAAACUGGUAAGAUGUGGAGAGCGAAUGGAGGAUCUUGAACCCUUUUUAUCCUGAUCGAAUGGCUGUACGAAUUCUAUGAAUGGCAACAGAAGCUUAGUCUAUUCUAUGAUCAUAUGCAACUGAUGAAGCCACGGUUGGAGACCAUCCGGGAGGAAAUGCAAAACAAGGCGAUGGAAGUAAGAUCCAAUCAGCUUUGUCAGAGUGGACUGGCCAGAGUACUGUUCCAAGCGUCUUCAUCAAAGGAAAACAUAUCGGUGGAAGCGAUAAAGUGAUGGAGACUUACAAGCAAGGCAAGCUUGUGCCUCUCCUUACUGAAGCUGGUGCUCUUUCCAAUAUCCCUUCCAAGCUUUGAUGUAACCGCUCAAACCAGUGUAUGUUAUUAGAUCAUGGAAAUGUAUUGUCACUUAACCCAAAUAAAAGAAAUAUCCUUUCUCU